rnacentral:rRNA from 1 species
ACGCUCGACACCUACGGGAGGCAGCAGUGGGGAAUAUUGCACAAUGGGGGAAACCCUGAUGCAGCGACGCCGCGUGAGUGAAGAAGUAUUUCGGUAUGUAAAGCUCUAUCAGCAGGGAAGAAAAUGACGGUACCUGAGUAAGAAGCCCCGGCUAACUACGUGCCAGCAGCAGCGGUAAUCUGAGCGGGCUGGCAAGGC